rnacentral:rRNA from 1 species
UACGGAGGGUGCAAACGUUAUCCGGAUUCACUGGGUUUAAAGGGUGCGUAGGUGGGUUGGUAAGUCAGUGGUGAAAUCUCCGUGCUUAACAUGGAAACUGCCAUUGAUACUACUGAUCUUGAAUUUUCUGGAGGUAAGCGGAAUAUGUCAUGUAGCGGUGAAAUGCUUAGAUAUGACAUAGAACACCAAUUGCGAAGGCAGCUUGCUACAGGGAUAUUGACACUGAGGCACGAAAGCGUGGGGAUCAAACAGG